GUGUGGAACUUGGGAUUCGAACGGCAGGCGGGAAGUGCUCUAGCAGGGGAGUCUGACCUUGUGAGGGAAUACCUGUGUCCCCCCUUUUUUCCCCUUUUUACCCAAUAAAACCCUGCCUUACUCACCCUUUAAAUCAUCUGCGAGCCUGAAUUUUCAUGGCCGUGGGACGGACAAGAACUUUAUCUUCAGCUGAACUAAGAAAAAGUCCUGCAACAUUUUUGGCGCGCAAUGUGGGGGCACCAGAAGCGGGCACCGUUGAGCUGUUGCAACUGUUCUGCUGGAGCCUUAUGUAUGUGGUUGAAACCACCUGUACUACUGGAAUGAAAGCACCUUUACAGAAGAGGCAAUGCAAGUUGUAUUCAUCACAUGUGUAGAAUGAAUUAAGAUUUAUGCCAGUUGCAAAGAAGAAUAUUGGCUCACUAUUUUUCCUCUGGGCAUGUGGAAAUGUAAAUCAGUCCAUGUUACUCACCUCGGAGAAGCAGAAGUACGAUUUACUAUUGUUGCUUGCUUACUUACUCUUAUCAAUUUCUAUGAGAGAGUUGUACUGCGACAUUAGCUCUUUUGACUAGAUGUGAUGACAGACUGUCUUUGGUCCAUUCUCUUUUAUUGCCUUGGAAGAGAAUAAAUGAGGAGUAGUUCUCACCCAUUGCAGCUGAGGCAUCACACCUGUAAUGGGAUUAACAAGAUGAUAAUAUAUCUUUUGCCAAGACCACAUACUAGCAGCAAUGUUAUUUAUGAACAACAAAAUUAUAGAAAAAGUGAGAAAAAGUCAAUUAUCAAUUAUUUUCUGAUGAACAACAACAAAGACAAAAAAAUGGUGGGAUUGAUUUAUUUUCCCCUGACAGAAUUGAUUGUUUCUUUAGGUUCUAUGCAACUUGCAGACUCACUGAGGGUGAAUGGAAUGUGCUGAAAAUUCAGCCUGACUUGGCAGCUCCAAGGGACACACCUCAAUGUAGAGAAAGCAGGAAUUAGAGAUGAGGUUUUUUAAUCCCUGUCUCAGUUUUGCCUUAUAGAUGAACCACAAUGAGUCUCAAGCAAUCUGAGUUGAAGUAAGUUGGUAUUAAGCAGGAGUGGUUUGGCCAUGAGUAUAAAAAUCUAGUUGUGUCUUACCAGUGGAUGAGGAGGCAACAGCCUGUGCUACCUCAUUUGGGAGAGGGUGAGCAAUACCUCAUUCUGAAAGGUGACAUGUAUUCCAUCAAUGGAAAUCACUGAGUUCAUACUCCACCAUUAGUGGCUUUACCAUUGGUCUUCCUCAAGGCUGUCAGAGAACUAGUAACUUGUAUGGAAAGGAGUAUGCAGGUAUAGACAGAAGAAGGGUUUGAAAAAGGGAGUCGGAGGAUAUUAAAAACAAAUCUUAUCAGUCACAUUUUCAUGUAGGCCUGCCUUGCAGGAACCAGUUACAAAAAUUAAAAAAAAAAAAAAAAAAAAA
ensembl:lncRNA MIR924HG MIR924 host gene